GCCUAACCAUAAACACAGGCAGCCACCAUACAAAGCUGUCCGCCAGAGAACUACGAACGAAAAGUUUAAAACUCAAAGGAUUUGGCGGUGCCCAACUCCGGCCUAGAGGAGCCUGUCCUAUAAUCGAUACUCCACGUUUCACCCGACCACCCUUAGCACCUCAGCCUAUAUACCGCCGUCGUCAGCCUACCUUAUGAAAGAAAAAAAAUAGGCACAAUAGUUAACAACUAGUACGUCAGGUCAAGGUGUAGCACACAGGGUGGCAGAGAUGGGCUACAUUUUCUCAGAUAGAAGACACGAACGGCACACUGAAACAAGUGCCUAAAGGCGGAUUUAGUAGUAAGGCAAACAAGACCAUUUACCUUAAACUCGCUCUAGGGUGCGCACACACCGCCCGUCACCCUCAUCACCAGGUUUUCCAACAAAAAUAUUCCAAAGCACCAACAUAGAUGAGGCAAG
rnacentral:rRNA from 1 species